GACGAACGCUGGCGGCGUGCUUAACACAUGCAAGUCGAACGGAAAGGCCCUGCUUUUGUGGGGUGCUCGAGUGGCGAACGGGUGAGUAACACGUGAGUAACCUGCCCUUGCCUUUGGGAUAACUUCAGGAAACUGGGGCUAAUACCGGAUAGGAGCUCCUGCUGCAUGGUGGGGGUUGGAAAGUUUCGGCGGUUGGGGAUGGACUCGCGGCUUAUCAGCUUGUUGGUUGGGUAGUGGCAUACCAAGGCUUUGACGGGUAGCCGGCCUGAGAGGGUGACCGGCCACAUUGGGACUGAGAUACGGCCCAGACUCCUACGGGAGGCAGCAGUGGGGAAUAUUGCACAAUGGGCGGAAGCCUGAUGCAGCAACGCCGCGUGCGGGAUGACGGCCUUCGGGUUGUAAACCGCUUUCGCCUGUGACGAAGCGUGAGUGACGGUAAUGGGUAAAGAAGCACCGGCUAACUACGUG
rnacentral:rRNA from 1 species